CACGUAGGCGGACCAUCAAGUUGGGGGUGAAAUCCCGGGGCUCAACCCCGGAACUGCCUCCAAAACUGCUGGUCUGGAGGUCGAGAGAGGUGAGUGGAAUUCCGAGUGUAGAGGUGAAAUUCGUAGAUAUUCGGAGGAACACCAGUGGCGAAGGCGGCUCACUGGCUCGAUACUGACGCUGAGGUGCGAAAGCGUGGGGAAGCAAACA
rnacentral:rRNA from 1 species